AUUAGUGGCGAACGGGUGAGUAACACGUGAGUAACCUGCCCUCCACUUUGGGAUAACUCCGAGAAAUCGGGGCUAAUACUGGAUAUGACCUUGGCCCGCAUGGGUUGUGGUGGAAAGUUUUUCGGUGGGGGAUGGGCUCGCGGCCUAUCAGUUUGUUGGUGAGGUAGUGGCUCACCAAGGCGAUGACGGGUAGCCGGCCUGAGAGGGCGACCGGCCACACUGGGACUGAGACACGGCCCAG
rnacentral:rRNA from 1 species